CGCGGUAAUGCCAUGGCGCAGUUGAUGCAGCCAUGCCGCGUGUGUGAGAAGGCCUUCGGGUUGUAAAGCACUUUCAGCGAGGAGGAAGGUGGUGAACUUAAUACGUUCAUCAAUUGACGUUACUCGCAGAAGAAGCACCGGCUAACUCCGUGCCACAGCCGCGGUAAA
rnacentral:rRNA from 1 species